ACUCUCAACUUUGCCUUAGGAGUUAAAGACAAAGAUUCAAGGACCCUGGAAGAGUCUCUCUGUCAAGGCAGUGCUGGCAUCUGCAGCAAGAUAGAGCUCCCUGCAGGGUGUCCCUGGUGAAAACUGCAGACAAGUGCUCUGAGGUGCUGCUGCAGUGGGCUCCUCACCAGACCAGUUCUGCAGCGUGGUUUGAGUGUUGUUCCUGGCUGCAAACCUGCUUCUCCAGCCCGCCUACUGAUUCUGGAAGCUGCCCAAAUAUCCUUUUAAUGAAUUCCUUUUCUGCCUAAAUCAUCUAGAGUCCAAUUCUGUUGCUUGCAAUCAAGGUUCUAGACUGAUACGCACCUGUAACUCCUUCAGGAAUUUGUCCUACUUCUGAGAAGUCCCAAAGGGCUUUGUCCCCAAGGACAGUUUCUAUGACAAAUCUACAAAGGGGAUUCUCUGUAAAUGCCCAUUCUGUUAUGAAUACUAAAAUUAGAGACCGUAAGGCUAGCCACCAUUGUUCCAUAGUAUCUAGUUUAGUACCAGCGAGCACAUAUGUUCUAAGCAAUGCUGGAAAGCCCCUUUCAAAUAACUUUUGCCUUGGCAAAAGACGUUGUAAUGCUUCUUGAAAUAGUUUCAUGAUGUCAUUUACGUAGUAGACCUGAUUUCUGCGAACACAUUAUUUUGAAAUGAGGAUUUAAAUUGUGCUUUGGCAGGAACUGAAUAUUCAAAUGUAAUGAGUUUAAUUGAUUAUGAGAAUGUUUCUUUUAAGAUGAUGCAAUAACUGCCUGGUAUUGAGCCUGCUGCUCCAGUGUGCACUAGUAGAAAGGCUUUCAAAAUUGAUCUUGGUACAUUUGAAAUCUGGUAAGCAAUUGAUUCUCUCUCUAAGCCUCAGUAUAGAAUCUAGUUCUAAGUGAUAAGGCACUAACAAUGCCCUGAAACCAGACCAAAAUGGGUCUGCCUCUUGCUAGAGCUUUGAAUUCCAGCCAUGGGAGUAUGACUGGGGAGAGAUUCAACCUGUGGGGCCAUCUCCUCCUCUCAUGACUGCGUGGACCCACUUUCCCCAUUUGUCUCUACCUGCUGUGCCCACUUCGGGAGGGCCAAAAGUGUGCUGUAUUCGAGGCUGUACCAAAGAUGUUACCAGAGCUGCUGAGCAUCUGAGACUUAGCGGGUAUAGAGGGUGUCUGCAGGCCAAAAAUAUAUGUGCUGGCAAAGGAAUCUUGGAGGGGCAAGAAACUGAUCUAUAUCUUGAUUGUGGUGGUGGUUAUGACUCUAGGCAUCUGUUUAAACUCAUAGACCUGUACACUAAUAUGAGCAAAUUUUACUGUAUGCAAAUUAAAUAUAAACCAGGCAUGUCGAUUUGCACGUGUAAUCUCAGGUACUCGGGAGGCUGAAGUGGAAGGAUUGCUUGGGGCCAGGAGUGCAAGAGCAGCCUGGGCCGCAUAGCAAGACUGCCUCUAAAAAAAAUUAAUUAGGCCGGGCGCGGUGGCUCAAGCCUGUAAUCCCAGCACUUUGGGAGGUCGAGGCCGGUGGAUCAUGAGGUCAGGAGACGGAGACCAUCCUAGUUAACACGGUGAAACCCCGUCUCUACUAAAAAUACAAAAAAUUAGCUGGGCAUGGUGGCAGGCUCCUGUAAUCCCAGCUACUCGGGAGGCUGAGGCAGGAGAAUGGCGUGAACCCAGGAGGCGGACCAUGCAGUGAGCCGAGAUCGCGCCACUGCACCCCAGCCUGGGCGACAGAGCGAGACUCCGCCUCAAAAAAAAAUUAAUUAAUUAAACAUAAAUUUUAAAACAAGAAUAUGUGUGCUGGAAUAUCCACUUUCCACAUGUGAAUUGCCGUACAGUGGCACAGUGUGCAGGCACAUGACCACAGUGUCUCCAAUCUAAUCUGGAAGCAUUAUGUGGCUCAGUUCACACUUCAAUACCCAGCUCAAUUAUAUAAUUCUUUUUUUUUUUUUUAAGACAGCGUCUCACUCUGUCACCCAGUCUGGAGUAGAGUGGUGCCAUUAAAGCUCACUGCAGCCUCAAACUCCUGGGCUCAAAUGAUCCUCCUGACUCAAUCUCCUGAGUAGUUGGGACUUUGGGUGCAUGCCACUGAGCCCAGCUAAUUUUUAAAACCUUUUGUAGAGACAAGGUCUCACUUUUUUGCCCAGGCUGGUCUCAAACUCUUGGGCUCAAGUGAUCCUCCCGCCUCAACAUCCUAAAGUGCUGGAUUUGCAGGCAUCAGCCACCAUGCCCAGCCUCAAUUAUGUAAUUUUUUUUUAAUAGAGACAAGGUCUCCCUAUGUUGCCUAGGCUGGUCUUGAACUUCUGGGCUUAAGGGAUCCUCCCUCCUCAGCCUCCCAAAGUGUUGGGAUUACAGUCAUGAGCUACCGUGCCUGGCCCCAAUUAUGUAAUUCAAAAAUUUGUGAGUGACUGCCCACUUUAGGGCAGAGAAUUAACAUGUGUGAGGAAGGUACGGGGCUUGGUUUUCUUGUGGGCUCCUACUGAAGGCCAAGAGAAUCUGCUCCUGGCUGGGCUCGGUGGCUCAUGCUUGUAAUCCCGGCACUUUGGGAGACCAAAGCAGGAAGAUCACUUGAGCUCUGGAGUUCAAGACUAGCCUGGGGAACAUGGUGAGACCCCCCCAUCUCCACAAAAAGUAAAACAAUUAGCCAGGUGUGGUGGCAUGCACCUGUGGCCCCGGUGACUCGAGAGGCUAAGCUGGGAGGAUCACUUGAGCCAGGGAGGUCAAGGCUGCAGUAAGCUGUGAUUGUGCCACUGCACUCCAGCCUAGGCAACAGACUGAGACCCUGUCUCAAAAAAAAAAAAAAAAAAAAAAAAAAAAAAAGCAUCUGUUCUAUAGUACUAUUCCUAGAACCUAAAAACUGACAUCUUAUGUGUAUUGAUGAAAAACUUGGUGGGAUCACCAAAUGCUAAGAAAAUGUUGUUUGUAAUCAACAGUCCACAAAGACCCAAAUUCCCGGUCAUAGAACCAACUUUCCCCAAAAGUUUUGUGGGGUGGCUGCAUUCCUACCAUUCUCCUGCUUUGUUGGCAAAGCCCUGGUCUCUGUUCAUCUCCAGCUGCUGUGCCAUGCAACUCUUGGUUGACCUCUGAGCCCAGUAGUUUUCAACCUUGGCUAUAGUUUAGAAUUGCCUGGGGAGCUUUUAAAAACCUCAUAAUCUGGCCACCACCCAGACCAAUUAGAUAAGAAUCUCUGGAAUGUGGGGCAUAAGCAUGAGUAUUUUUUAAAACCCCUCAGGUGAUUUCUAUACUUUUGAAAGAGGGCAAGUUUCUAUUUCGCGUGCCGGUAGGAACAUAGGAAGAGGUAUGUAUUCGUCUGCUCAGGCUGCUGUAUCAAAAUACCACAGACUUGGUGGCUUAAACAGCAGAAACUGGGCUGGGCGCGGUGGCUCACACCUGUAAUCCCAGCACUUUGGGAGGCCGAAGCGGGCAGAUCACGAGGUCAAGAGAUCGAGACCAUCUUGGCCAACAUGGUGAAACCUCGUCUCUACUAAAAAUACAAAAAAUUAGAUGGGCGUGGUGGCGCCCUGUAGUCCCAUCUACUCGGGAGGCUGAGGCAGGAGGAUCGCUUGAACCUGGGAGGCAGAGGUUGCCGUGAGCCGAGAUCAUGCCACUGUACCCCAGCCUGACGACAGAGCGAGACUCCAUCUCAAAAAAAAAAAAAAAAAAAAAACAAAACAGAAAUUGAUAUUCUCACAGUUCUGGAGGCUGGAUGUCCAAGAUCAAGCUGCUGCCAGCCUGGUUGCUUUCCUCUGAAGCCUCUCUCUCUCCUUGGCUUACAGAUGGCCUCUCUCUUGCUGCCUCUUCACAUGGUUGUCUCUCUGUUGUCUCUCUUUGUAACCUCAUCUCCUCUUCUUAUAAGGACACCAGUCAGAUUGGAUGAGAGCCCACUUCAACAGCCUCGUUUUAACUUAAUUCCCUCUUUAAAGGCCAUGUGUUUCCAAAUACAGUCACAUUCUGAGGUACUAGGGGUUAAAGCUUCCACAUAUGAAUUUUGAGGGGGCACCAUUUAGCUCAUAACAAGGGAGAUCAUGGUUCCUCUAAUAAUCUUCACACUUUUUUUUUUUUUUUGAGACGGAGUUUCGCUCUUGUUGCCCAGUCUGGAGUGCAGUGGCGCGAUCUCAGCUCACUGCAUCCUCUGCCUCCUGGAUUCAAGCGAUUCUCCUGCCUCAGUCUCCCGAGUAGCUGGGGCUACAGGCGCCCACCACCACACCUGGCUACUUUUUGUAUUUUUAGUAGAGACGGGAUUCUCCAUGUUGGUCAGGCUGGUCUCGAACUCCUGACCUCAAGUGAUCCACCUGCCUCGGCUUCCCAAAGUGUUGGGAUUACAGGCAUGAGCCACCACGCCCAGCCAAUCUUCACACUUGUGUUAUCUUAACCUGUUGUUUUUGAUAGCCAAAGCCAUGGGCCAUUAGAAAUGUGGCUGCCUGCAUCAGGGAUAGAAGACUAGAGUUCAGCAGGCCAGUCCAGGUUCUACUUUCGUGAAACCAUUCUCCCAAUAUCAACUACUGCUUCUCUUAGCACUAACACUGGGACAGUUCUGCUUUGCCUCCAAAAAACUCUGAAGUGGAUCAGAGUAGGACAUUAAUUAAAUUAACUCCAAGUUCCCUGCUGCAUCCCAGGCUGUAAAAGCUAUCCCUGUUGUAUUUCCCAUCCUGAAUUAUGCCCAGCCACAUUUUCCAAUGGAGUUCACCAGAAGUUGCAUGUUCAGCCCAAAUGAUAGCAUUAAAAUGUUCCAAAUAAUAUAUAAAUGUCCAAAUUUGAACAAUACAAAGUCUCUCCACUUAUGAAAAUCUUGGGAGAAAGAUUAAUUCCAAAAUGCCAGAGAAAUUUAAAUCCAAAACUAUUUCCUCCCCGAUUUCUGUUUCUGCUCAG
rnacentral:lncRNA from 1 species